GACGAACGCUGGCGGCGUGCUUAACACAUGCAAGUCGAACGGAAAGGCCCUGCUUGCAGGGUACUCGAGUGGCGAACGGGUGAGUAACACGUGGGUGAUCUGCCCUGCACUUCGGGAUAAGCCUUGGAAACUGGGUCUAAUACCGGAGAGGAGCCAUUUUUAGUGUGAUGGUUGGAAAGUUUGUUCGGUGUAGGAUGAGCUCGCGGCCUAUCAGCUUGUUGGUGGGGUAGUGGCCUACCAAGGCGGCGACGGGUAGCCGGCCUGGGGGGGUGGACGGCCACAGUGGGACUGAGAGACGGCCCAGACUCCGACGGGAGGGAGAAGGGGGGAAGAUUGCACAAGGGGCGCAAGCCUGAUGCAGCGACGCCGCGGGGGGGAGGACGGCCUUCGGGUUGGAAACGCCUUUCGCUAGGGACGAAGCUUUUUGUGACGGUACCUAGAUAAGAAGCACCGGCUAACUACGUG
rnacentral:rRNA from 1 species